rnacentral:rRNA from 1 species
AGAGUUUGAUCCUGGCUCAGGAUGAACGCUAGCUACAGGCUUAACACAUGCAAGUCGAGGGGCAGCAUGAACUUAGCUUGCUAAGUUUUGAUGGCGACCGGCGCACGGGUGGGUAACGCGUAUCCAACCUGCCCACCACUUGGGGAUAACCUUGCGAAAGUAAGACUAAUACCCAAUGAUAUCUCUAGAAGACAUCUGAAAGAGAUUAAAGAUUCAUCGGUGAUGGAUGGGGAUGCGUCUGAUUAGCUUGUUGGCGGGGUAACGGCCCACCAAGGCAACGAUCAGUAGGGGUUCUGAGAGGAAGGUCCCCCACAUUGGAACUGAGACACGGUCCAAACUCCUACGGGAGGCAGCA